rnacentral:rRNA from 1 species
CCGUGCGAAGGUAGCAUAAUCACUUGUUCUCUAAAUAGGGACUUGUAUCAACGGCAUCACGAGGGUUACACUGUCUCCUUUCUCCAAUCAGUGAAACUGAUCUCCCCGUGAAGAAGCGGGGAUAAGAAUAUAAGACGAGAAGACCCCAUGGAGCUUUAAGCUCAACAACACCUCUACAAUAUACCUCCUCUUAAACUACGAGACCUGUCUGUUAGCUUUAGGUUGGGGUGACCGCGGAGUAUAAUAUAACCUCCACGACUGACGGGACUAACCCCUUAUCCAAGAGCCACUGCUCUAAGAAUCAUGAAUUUGAUGUAAAAUGAUCCGUUCUUCGAUCAACGAACCAAGUUACCCUGGGGAUAACAGCGCAAUCUACUUCAAGAGCUCCUAUCGACAAGUAGGUUUACGACCUCGAUGUUGGAUCAGGGUAUCCUAGUGGUGCAGCCGCUACUAAAGGUUCGUUUGUUCAACGAUUAAAACCCUACGUGAU